AGGCAGCAGGGGGAAGGACAAGGGGGAAACCCGACCAGCCACCGCGGAGGAAGAAGGCCCGGGGAAUGCCCAGGAGGGAAGAAACGGGCAGCAACACCGCGACAAGACGGACCCAGAAGAAGCACCGGCAACAC
rnacentral:rRNA from 1 species